CCUACGGGGGGCAGCAGUGAGGAAUAUUGGUCAAUGGGCUUACGCCUGAACCAGCCAAGUCGCGUGAGGGAAGACUGCCCUAUGGGUUGUAAACCUCUUUUGUCAGGGAACAAAGGCGGGGACGUGUCCCCGGAUGAGUGUACCUGAAGAAAAAGCAUCGGCUAACUCCGUGCCAGCAGCCGCGGUAAUACGGAGGAUGCGAGCGUUAUCCGGAUUUAUUGGGUUUAAAGGGUGCGCAGGCGGUCUGUUAAGUCAG
rnacentral:rRNA from 1 species